ensembl:lncRNA
CGACUCUGCAGGAUAUUUGCCUUUUUGCUCUCCUGUUUGACCCCUGUGUAAUAUCUGAAUCUGCUAUAUAUUCCAUGUAUGGUCCUCGUGUUAACCAGGCUGCUCCAACAUGUGGAGAGGAGGAUACAGAGAUUGUGCCGCAACUUGCCAACCCUGCAACUCAUGCCUACUUGAGUUACAACCUGCAGUAAUUAACUGAUUUCUUCCUCUCUGCAUCUGCUCUUCUCUGACCUCGACAACUAGCUCUUCAAAUAAGUGUCAGACUAGGUCGCAGACACACUGAAACCACCCAGCUGGAAGGAUAAACUUCACUGAACUCAACUGUAGUCAGAUUAAAAUGCUGCCAGGUGGAGUUCCACUGAAAAAGCUGAUUGGUUUGACAUCAGCUCGAGGUUGUGGAGGAGUCUAGAACAUGGGACCUUGUCUGAAAUUGCUUGAUUCUAGUAUUAUUAAUGUCAAAGAUCACUAUCAUAC